UACAGGCAAUCUGAUAGAGGCAUUGU
rnacentral:piRNA from 1 species